UUGAGCCGUAUGCGAGGAAACUUGCACGUGCGGUUCUUUGCUUUGAGGGGGGAAAGCUUGAAAGAGCCUAUCCAUCCUGAU
rfam:Stegnogramma wilfordii, mitochondrial nad5 gene, partial